rnacentral:rRNA from 1 species
CAGUAGCCGCGGUAAUACGUAGGGUGCGAGCGUUAAUCGGAAUUACUGGGCGUAAAGCGUGCGCAGGCGGUUGUGUAAGACAGGUGUGAAAUCCCCGGGCUUAACCUGGGAACUGCGCUUGUGACUGCACAGCUAGAGUAUGGCAGAGGGGGGUGGAAUUCCACGUGUAGCAGUGAAAUGCGUAGAGGUGUGGAGGAACACCGAUGGCGAAGGCAGCCCCCUGGGCCAAUACUGACGCUCAUGCACGAAAGCGUGGGGAGCAAACAGGAUUAGAUACCCCCGUAGUCCCUGUCUCUUAUAA